AUUCUGAGCCUGGAGAUCUUUGACAAUUUGUUCGAGGUCCAUUUUUCUGUGUGGAGGAAAACCGUGAGAACAUUGAUCCCUUUAGAGUACCUGUUAUGCAAUGUUAUGUCAUGCUAUGCAAUGUAUGAAAUGUUUUCAAGGCCUUUUGGAAUUUAACUUUGCAUAAACUACCAAAAAGGGAAACUUUUUUUUGUUUUUUUUUUUNN
rnacentral:lncRNA from 1 species